UGGUCAAACCAUAGCCUCGCACUUGUGAGAGUCGCAGAGUUAGGCUCUGGUUGUUAGAUGGUCAGUGGUUAAAAGUUCAUCAUUUCCUAAAAUUACUUAGUGUUGAGUUGAUAGAAAGGUGGUCACUGCUAUGCUGUCCACCCUGAGGAAGCUCUUCUGCUUUAAGAAGGAGCCGAAAACCCCCUUGGGGUUUUGUGACGGCCCAAGCAGGGGAACGGGAUACUUGUCCUGCUUUCACUGUGGAACUGAAGACAGGUACCGCCAGCCUUAUGACCCUGAAAACCAAUUUCAUGAGGCAGUAUGCAUGGGAAAGCGCAAAGUGAUGGUGCGUCUCCUCAGGAAGAACCAAUUUCAUGUGAAUGAUGAGGAUGAAGGGAAACGAACUGCGCUCCACUUUGCAUGCUUCUAUGGCCAUAUCAAACUGGUUCGUUUUCUGUUAAGAUUUAAGGCCUGUGAGAUUAAUGCCCUUGACAAUCAAAUGUCCACACCACUAAUGAAGGCUGUACAAAGCUGGGAGACAGAGAUCGUGUCUGUCCUACUUGAUCGUGGAGCAGAUCCCAAUAUUAAAGAUUGCAAUGGAGAAGCAGCAAUCCACCAUGCAGUGUAUGUAGACAGGCCAGAUAUUGCCAGCAGUCUUCUUGAAUUUGGGGGAAACAUUGAAGAUACUACAAAGGAUGGGUUGACCCCUCUGCUGCUAGCACUCCGAGAAAGGAAACCCCGCAUGGCAGCAUACCUAAUCACACACGGUGCGAAUCUUCACGUAUCUGAUCAAUAUCUAAGAACAACACUCAUGUAUGCUGUUAGAUGGGAUUGUGAAAAUAUGGUUGAAAUUUUACUGAAGAAAGGUGUUGAUCACCAGUUAAAGGACACAUUUGGAUGGAGUGCUCUUUAUUAUGCCAUUAUGGGGAAACGCAAAACAAAAAUGGUGAUUAUUCAGCACGACUUAUUCCUCUGGAGACAACAAAAUACCUUCACACGAAAUCAGCCUGAAGAUGUCUUUUUAUCGGGGUAAGAUUUUAAGGUCUUUGAAUAUGAAUGUUAACUUAUAAUUAGAACCAGGGAAAAGAACUAAUGUUUAUUGAAUAUUGUGUUCUUCACUGAUUCCAUCUGAUUUAUUUAGUGUCCAUGAUGCAUUAAUAUAAUCAUAUGUUUUAAAGCUUUCAUAUCCUUGUGACUAAGUGUCUUACUACUUUAGCAAAGGUCAUCCAGAGAGUUUGAUUAAUUCUAUGAAUCCCAUAGGUAACAAGUUGCCAUCUCUUGACUGAACUGUCAGCCUGUGCACUCUCUUGUUCCUGUGACUACAUUGAGAUGAUCUCAUGUAGAAAGCCAGUUUUCCUUAUGUGUCAACUCUGGAUUAGAGUUUUCCUGAGAAACCUAUCUAAAACCUCCAUAGUUUUUCUUUUGAAAGUUGUUCUUAGACACUACAUUGCUAUCAAGAUUGGAGGGGGAAACCUCUCUUUAUUGUGUCUGUAGUGCCAUAGGUUUGAAAUGAGCAAGAUGACAGAAGGCUUGGAAUUACAUUAUUGGAAUGGUAGUCCAUGUGCACAUAUACCAUGUUAUGUUGAUACAAGUGAGCAUCUAUUUAAGAGACGUUAUGAACUUAUACUCAGUUUUGUUUUCUCUUCAAACUACUAGACUGCCUGGGUACAGGAGAGUUUUUUUCUCAUUUCAUCAAGUCUUUGUUUCCCCAUGACACUAAGAAUUUUGAAAUUUUUUAUUGUACAUUUAUUUUUCCUCAUGUUUCUUGACCUAUAGUUUAGAAUUUUUGACUGCCAGGUACUGCUUCUUGUUUUAUUAGAAAAUCUCAGAUCUGAAAAAUUUGUAGUUUUUAAGGAAUUUUGAAAACUAAUAAAAAUAUCCUGAGCACAGAAAACUAGAUCCAACGUUAUACAUAAACAGUUGCUCUGAGGGAGAAGCCAAAACUAAAACACAGUAUUCUAUGGAGGUGGAAAUACAAAUGGCCCAAUUUAGAUUCCCAUGCAUUCCUUCACUAAAAGACCAGUCCUUACUGACCAGUAUUUGAUUGAGAAUUUCUGUAGGAAAAUAUGGGAAUGAGUCAAGUGUUCCAAGAAUGGCAUUAAAAGUAGCCUAAUGGUGGAUGAUUUGAAUGACAUUAACAGGGGAAGGGCAAUUUCGAAAGGAAAAUCAUGGAGGCCAAUAGGACUAAGAGUUUGGCCUCGUGAUUAGUUUUUUAAAGACAAUAAAGUUAUUUACAUAGACACAGGAUGGUGAAAAUCAUCUGGGAAUGGAUAGGGUUGAACGUAAUUUGGAAACUAUAUUACCUUUUGUGCUUAAUUGAUAGAAAUGACAAAUAGAUUCUUCUGUUGAAACUUACUUGAGCAACCUGAAGUCUUUAUAGAAAACGGGAAUGUGGUAUCACAGAGGGUGGGCUAGAGAAUGUUCAGAACCAAGGGCUGAAAUGAAAAAUAUCUGUGAUCCACUGCCACUGCUUCUUUUCCUGUUACCUUUGCCAAAUUCCUGUCCUUUUCAGAUUGGAAUUGCAGAACAUAAUCAUAGAAUUUUGUAAUAUAUCUAGGCUUGGGAUGUGUGUUGCUGACCCUCCAUUUAGCUUAUUUGCCUGAACCAGGGAACUAGCUGUCUUUCAGGUUCUUUGAGCCUGUACUUUCAGGAAUCUGCACCUUCCUGGGAUGAAUAUUUAAAGGCCAGAGAGCAUCACUGAAGACUGCAAAAGAGGGAACGAGGAGUGGUAUCCUAUAUAAGGAAGACAUCUAGAGAACAUAGAGGGAAACAGAGGCAAAAGUCCCAGGGAUCUGCUUUUCCAGAAGUCUCUGCCAUCAACCGAGCACAUAUGAAGACAUCACUUUGAAUCUGAGUCACUGAUUUCCGUGUGUGCAACAAUGGAGGACACAGCUAAUUUGAAAACUCAGUAGAUGGGAAUCAACACAGAGAUCAACAACUGGUCAAAAUGCAGAGUGAGAGACUUUGGACCACCUAGUCAUAAAUUGGAUGUCUUCAUCAAACCUCCUCCAUCAAGGCUCAGUGUUUAUGUAGAAAAGGAAGCAGAAUGAUUAUAAGAGCCAGUGCUUAUGGAUAAGGUCAAGGAAACUUUGGCUUCCAGACACAACAGGACCAAGACCAAUGCACAUAUGAACUCAGAGACUACGCCCAUACACAGAUGAUUUGCCCAGGUUCCAACAAGACAGGGUGCCAGCACUAAGAGGCAGAAGAAGACACAGGCUGCCAUCCAUAACCAGGACACAGUUUGUAAUUGAUAGCUGUUGGCAAAAGGAAAAGUCAGUGUUCUACUUGAAGCAUCACUGGGUAUAUCAAAGGCACUCCAGAGAAGACACUAUGACCAGGGGAAGUUGAUCAACACAAAGGAAGCAGUGUUCAAUUUUGUGUUUGUGGUAUUGUUGGGGGCUGAUUGUUCUCUUGUGGCAUGUUUGUCUUAUUGGUUGUAAGUUUGUAUUUUCAAUUUGGGGGUAGAUUUAAGAGAGAAAGAUUAUAAACUUGGGGGGUAGGUAGAUGGGGAAUAAUCUGGGAGUAUUUUGGUUGGGAAAAUAUGUUCAAAAUAUAUUGUACAUGCAAAUUUUUAAAUCAAAAAUGGAAGAAAAAACUCUUCAUAUAAUUGAGGUAUACAUGUUUCCCCCUAAUUGUAGAAAGUUCUAGAAUAAGGUAUUUGAUAACCAAUGCUAAAGGCAAAAUUUCAAUUUCAUCUUAUUUUUGCACUCAAAAUCUUUAAAAGUAACCUGAAAUUCUUUGCAUCAUAUGUAACACUUCAAAUUUUAAAGGAUGUCUACACAGUGGUUUCAUUGCUCAUUUAAAUCUCCAAAAUCACUCUGAGGUUAGGCUUCCUGUUUCUGGGUGUCCUAGAUCAUUUGUGAUUAGAGUUUUGUAGUUUUCUUUUUUGUUUUUUUGUUUAUUACAUCAACUAUGAAAUUAGUGAAUGCAAGGCAAAUUCUUUACCACUCAACCACACACCCAGUCCUUCAAGUCUUAUUGUGAUAAGCUAUACAUAAAUUCUUCAAAUGUGGAUUUCAGCAUAUAGUCAAUAGGGCUUUUUAUUCCUUUCUUCAUGUGUUUUAUGAAUGUUGGGACCAGACUGACAUAUAUUUCAACAGUAUUUGAAGACUUACAAAUCCUCAGCUGACAUAAUGACAUUGAUGUUUCAUCACAGAAUCUUUCUGAAUUAAAACUACCAGUUCAUAUGACUUAAAUAUGAAGUGAUAACCAUUAGUGUUAUGCCAUUUAGAGAAUAGUGAAUCUAUGUGAACUUUAAAUUUUCUUACCUAUCUCACAAGUAAAUGACUAAAAAUGC